AUUGAACGCUGGCGGCCGGCCUAACACAUGCAAGUCGAGCGAGCGGCGGACGGGUGAGUAAUGUAUGGGGACUGCCCGAUAGAGGGGGAUAACUACUGGAAACGGUAGCUAAUACCGCAUACUAUCGGAUAACCCCUAUGGGCGUAGCUAGUAGGUGAGGUAAUGGCUCACCAAGGCAACGAGCCGUAGCUGGUUUGAGAGGACGACCAGCCACACUGGGACUGAGACACGGCCCAGACUCCGACGGAGGCAGCAGUGGGGAAUGUUGGACAAUGGGGGAAAGCCUGAUCCAGCCAUCCCGCGUGUAUGAUGAAGGCCUUCGGGUUGUAAAGGACUUUUGGCAGAGAAGCGGUAUCUGCAGAAUAAGCACCGGCUAACUACGUGCCAGCAGCCGCGGUAAUAC
rnacentral:rRNA from 1 species